CGAUUCCACUGGUUCAUGGUAAGGGCUAUUUUUGUAAAAAAAAUAAAUUAAAAUAUCAGGUGUAACCUGACGCAACCCAUUUGUGUGGCUACCUCUAUACAUAUCACCCUACAACCGUAACCCUAAUCCUUCUUAAUCCUCCAAGCGUCGCCCACUAUCCCCACUUCCAUAUUUUUUUUCUCUCUCUAAUUUUUUUUAACACAAGAGUAAGUUCCAAUUUCUUUUCCCUCAUCCAUAUUAAUAAAGGCACCAUGGAUCACAGGCAAUUGAAAGGCAAGGGCUAGGCUGGCAUAUCAAAGUCGGCUAGGAAACGCAGCAGGUCGUCAGACCAACAGAUUAAUAGGGUACCACGUGCUCCACCAGUCCCACGUGGUCAAUCUAGGAGAUUUGGAUUUUAGGCAGUCAGACAAGUAGGUAAGAAGUGGUGUACUAAACACCUCGACACAAACUACAUACCUCAGGUAUUCAUUGAUAGGGCGAGCUUACAGCGGGAAUAUCCUAGCAUGGUUCGGCGACUGGAGCAGCUGAAAUGACCUUUGUAUUUCACCAGCCUACUGAGUGCAAUUUGCACCUUGUAUUUGAAUUUAAUGCAAAUUGGGACCCACGAGACCCACAUCAUGAGGUGAAAGUUCACAACAAAGUUAUCAGAUUUAUAGCUGCAAACAUAAAUGAUUUGCUGGGUGUAACUGAGGCUGAUGCAAACCCUUUGAGAUAAACAAGGAGGCCCGUAUAUGGGGAAGAAUCGUCUAUCAUUGCCUGGUUCAAGGGAAACACCUGAUAGAAGUUACACGUGACUAGUAUGCUUGAUUUAUGCCUUGAUGUGCAAUGAUAUUGAUAUUAAUUAGGUCAGGUGAUCUUUUCUACAAUGAAGAAGGCCAGCUACCAUAAGGGGUGCAGAUACGGCUUUAGAGUUUUUUUGACCUUUUUUUUUAGGAGGCAUAUGGUCAAGGAGGAGUUAGACUAUAAUCUAGUGGUAGAUUCUCAAACUGUUGAUGUUACUACAGCUAGGAGCACAGUUGGGGCUCUUGGCCCUGUCCUUCUGAUUUCUGAGCUCACUGCCAGAAUGUAUGGAUUGCAGAUGCUGCAGCUGAAAGUGGGGGAAAGACGUACAACUGAUGUAGAAAUUAGUGAGUUUGAGCUGGAUUAUCCCUUAGUCCAUUAUGCUAGGAUGUUGCUGAGGAUAGGGCCUGAUUUUUUUUAGCCAAUUGAUGAUGAUGUCCCCACCGAUGAGGAACGACAAUGGCAUUACUCGGAAAUUUGUCAAAUAAUGAUGAGCCGCCAGAUGAAGGCGAUGCAGAUGAUUAUGAAGAGGAUAAUGAUGUCGGUGAUGAUAUGGAUGACGCAAAUGAUAUAUGAUUGUGGCCUAAAUAGGGAGUAUUAUGCCACCUCACCAUUUGAGCUUAUUUGUAAGCACUGGGACAGUGCUUCAUUUAAGUAUGGGGUGGUUGUGUCUCGUUUCUUCUUCUCUUUAACUUUUUAUUUUGUUGGACAAUUUUUAUUUCUGUUUUGGGGAUGCUUUAAUUUUUAUUUUUCUGGUGGUAUGUUCAGCUUAGCCAUUUCUAGCAAUUCAGAACAGUAUGGAAUAGUUAGUAAUGGUUUUCUUUUAAGUUUAUAGUGUUUGUUAUUGUUGUUUCCCUUAAGGAAAUAUACACAUUUUUUCCCUCAAGGUGAAUUAAAUCAUCAUAGCUAUUUGUCCUCCUCUAUGAUAGAUGGAUGACAACCGUCUUAAGGGGAGUUAGACUUUAGAAGCUUAGAAUUUAUAAGAACCCAACCAUGACUUUUGAGAAGU